rnacentral:rRNA from 1 species
GGGUCGUAAACUUCUUUUAUAUGGGAAUAAAGUUUUCCACGUGUGGAAUUUUGUAUGUACCAUAUGAAUAAGGAUCGGCUAACUCCGUGCCAGCAGCCGCGGUAAUACGGAGGAUCCGAGCGUUAUCCGGAUUUAUUGGGUUUAAAGGGAGCGUAGGUGGAUUGUUAAGUCAGUUGUGAAAGUUUGCGGCUCAACCGUAAAAUUGCAGUUGAAACUGGCAGUCUUGAGUACAGUAGAGGUGGGCGGAAUUCGUGGUGUAGCGGUGAAAUGCUUAGAUAUCACGAAGAACUCCGAUUGCGAAGGCAGCUCACUAGACUGUCACUGACACUGAUGCUCGAAAGUGUGGGUAUCAAACAGGAUUAGAUACCCUGGUAGUCCACACAGUAAA